rnacentral:sRNA from 2 species
AUCCCAUCGCAGGAUCGCAAACCGUUAGGCAUCCAAGAUAUGUUCUAACUUCUCUCGCUGUAUGCUCCCGAACAGCGGGGGAACGGGUCAUGGCGGUUGGGCGAAAUAGUGCCCAUUCGUCGAAAUUAUACCCAUAUUUGUUUUUAGAAUCGAUUCGCGGUGAUAACCAGCCACUGCGGCGAUCCGAUCCCAUCACAGCCGUAGUCCCAAGUGGCGGCGUGACAACUCCGCGUGUCGCCGCACGCGGUUUCGGGACGGAAACAUGAGCUUCCAUCGCGUUUUGAUGUGACACAGCAUUUCCCCA